GAUGAACGCUGGCGGCGUGCCUAAUACAUGCAAGUCGAGCGAACAGAUAAGGAGCUUGCUCCUUUGACGUUAGCGGCGGACGGGUGAGUAACACGUGGGUAACCUACCUAUAAGACUGGGAUAACUUCGGGAAACCGGGGCUAAUACCGGAUAACAUUUGGAACCGCAUGGUUCUAAAGUGAAAGAUGGUUUUGCUAUCACUUAUAGAUGGACCCGCGCCGUAUUAGCUAGUUGGUAAGGUAACGGCUUACCAAGGCAACGAUACGUAGCCGACCUGAGAGGGUGAUCGGCCACACUGGAACUGGGCCACGGUCCAGACUCCUACGGGAGGCAGCAGUAGGGAAUCUUCCGCAAUGGGCGAAAGCCUGACGGAGCAACGCCGCGUGAGUGAUGAAGGGUUUCGGCUCGUAAAACUCUGUUAUUAGGGAAGAACAAACGUGUAAGUAACUGUGCACGUCUUGACGGUACCUAAUCAGAAAGCCACGGCUAACUACGUG
rnacentral:rRNA from 1 species